CCGUACUAGAUGGGGAGCUAGCGGCACCCUAUAACCCACAAUCCGCUACAGUGGGAUUGAAUUCCCCACCUAGGAUUAUACUUGUGUGGUCUGCCCCAUGUAAGCAGCGUUGAGAGCAGGGCCUUGCGCAAUGGAAACUUUCGAACCGUGUCAGGUCUUGACGGAAGCAGCACUAAGGAAGAAUUUUCAUGUGCCGUAAGUUCCCCCUGCUGGAGCCGGCUGCAUGGGUAACGCAUGUGAGUAUAAUUCGAAGUGGGGUGUACGG
rnacentral:SRP_RNA from 1 species